AUGCAUCAGUGUAUUUCAAUUUAGCAAAACCUUGAUCAGGAUAAUUUAUGAGAUAGAUUUAUAAAUUUAAAAUAUAAUGUGGUCGACUUAAUUAGGGUUGACAGUAAAACCCUAAGUCACCUUGAGCAUUUGGAUCAAAGAGAUGAAUUAUACGGUAACCAUAUACCAGUAGGUUCUAGAAGGUUGCUUUGCAACACUUUGACCCAUC
rnacentral:lncRNA from 1 species